rnacentral:tRNA from 1 species
AAGGUUGUAGCUCAAUAGGUAGAGCUUUAGUACCGUGAAAUCGCUAUGGUAAUGAAGCAAUGAUUUGAUGCAGGUUCAACUCCUGUCAACCUUA